rnacentral:lncRNA from 1 species
UAAUCCAAAUAUCCAAAUAAUUCUAAUGAAAAUAUGCAAAAAAAAUAAAUUCUCAGACCUUGGCUGCAUUCAAGGUAGGAACUGGGGUUUGGGCAUUCAGUGAGAACAAGAGACAUAACAUUACUCCAUGAGUGAAAAUCUUCACCCACUGCAGUGUACACACUCUCCAGCUUUGGAUUUUCACGAUCCUUCAAGAAAAUACCUUCCUUUGAGUGAAAAUAUUGCAUAUGUUCGCAAUGAGGGUGAAAAUGUUAUCAGUGAACUAAUAAAACAAAAACCGUACAACACUUUCACAGCGGAAGCGAAAAUGAGAGAGAGAAAAAUUACUCUCAAUACUCAC